GACGAACGCUGGCGGCGUGCCUAAUACAUGCAAGUCGAACGCAGUGGGGACGGGUGAGUAACACGUGGGUAACCUCCCAUCAGAGGGGAUAACACUUGGAAACAGGUGCUAAACCGAUACUGAUGGAUGGACCCGGGGGGCAUUCGCUAGUUGGUGAGGUAACGGCUCACCAAGGCCACGAUGCAUAGCCGACCUGAGAGGGUGACCGGCCACACUGGGACUGAGACACGGCCCAGACUCCUACGGGAGGCAGCAGUGGGGAAUAUUCGGCAAUGGACGAAAGCCUGACCGAGCAAUGCCGCGUGAGUGAAGAAGGUCUUCGGAUUGUAAAACUCUGUUGUCAGGGAAGCGUUAUCCAACCAGAAAGCCACGGCUAACUCCGUGCCAGCAGCCGCGGUAAUUC
rnacentral:rRNA from 1 species